UAGGGAAUCUUCGGCAAUGGGGGGAACCCUGACCGAGCAACGCCGCGUGAGUGAAGAAGGUUUUCGGAUCGUAAAGCUCUGUUGUUAAGGAAGAACGAGUGUGAGAAUGGAAAGUUCAUGCUGUGACGGUACUUAACCAGAAAGGGACGGCUAACUACGUGCCAGCAGCCGCGGUAAUACGUAGGUCCCGAGCGUUGUCCGGAUUUAUUGGGCGUAAAGCGAGCGCAGGCGGUUUUUUAAGUCUGAUGUGAAAGCCCACGGCUCAACCGUGGAGGGUCAUUGGAAACUGGAAAACUUGAGUGCAGAAGAGGAAAGUGGAAUUCCAUGUGUAGCGGUGAAAUGCGCAGAGAUAUGGAGGAACACCAGUGGCGAAGGCGACUUUCUGGUCUGUAACUGACGCUGAUGUGCGAAAGCGUGGGGAUCAAACAGG
rnacentral:rRNA from 1 species